rnacentral:rRNA from 1 species
CUAAGAAUAUUCCGCAAUGGACGAAAGUCUGACGGAGCGACGCCGCGUGGAUGACGAAGGCCGAAAGGUUGUAAAAUCCUUUUGCUGAUGAAGAAUAAGCGUGGUAGGGAAUGACCGCGUGAUGACAUUAGUCGGUGAAUAAGCCCCGGCUAACUACGUGCCAGCAGCCGCGGUAACACGUAGGGGGCAAGCGUUGUUCGGAAUUAUUGGGCGUAAAGGGCAUGUAGGCGGUUUGGUAAGCCUGAUGUGAAAUCCUGCAGCUUAACUGUAGAACUGCAUUGGGUACUGCCGAACUUGAAUCACUGAGGGGAAACUAGAAUUCCAGGUGUAGGGGUGGAAUCUGUAGAUAUCUGGAAGAAUACCGGUGGCGAAGGCGGGUUUCUAGCAGAUGAUUGACGCUGAGGUGCGAAAGUGC